UACGGAGGGGACUAGCGUUGUUCGGAAUUACUGGGCGUAAAGCGCACGUAGGCGGAUUUGUAAGUCUGGUGUUUAAACCCGAAGCUCAAACUUCGGGUCGCAUUGGAAACUGCAAGGCUUGAGUGCAGAAGAGGAAAGUGGAAUUCCACGUGUAGCGGUGAAAUGCGUAGAGAUGUGGAGGAACACCAGUGGCGAAGGCGACUUUCUGGGCUGUAACUGACGCUGAGGCGCGAAAGCGUGGGGAGCAAACAGG
rnacentral:rRNA from 1 species